CUUCCUGGUUAGUGAGAAAACACUAAAUAACUAAUAAAUCAUAUUAAAUAAUUUGUGCUGCAUUGGCUCUGAAUAUCCUGUUUUGUAAUCUGCCAGCAAAAGAUGCAGAAUGGGUGGAGUAAUGGUGAAAUGUACGCAGACUUGAAGAUGUGACACUACACAUGGUCAGGGGUGGAGGAGGGAGUGCACAGCAGGGGGGUGGAGCAAAGGGGGCCCUCAGGAAAAUUUGCUGACCUGGGGGUUCUUGGUGAAUUGUUGUGAAUUCUGAGUGAUCAUCUCUUAUCAAAAAGGGCAUUCCCUGGUAAACUCUGCAGUGGACCCCCUGCCAUGAGGGUGGAUACCCCAUCCUCCCCCACCUCCUCUGCUACUGCAUAUAGUCAUGGGCGUGGUCUUCACAGUGAUGAACAAUCCACUAAAGGAGUUACAAUGAAAGAUGUAUGUAGGAGCUACGGCUGUAAUUGCAAACGUAAGCCAGCUGAUUCCGGCUUGGAACAGAAGUGCCGGCUUCACAAGGACUAUUCAGCUCCUCUUUUACUCUCCUUUCUUCUUUCUUUGUAUGCAGUGCAAUAAAUUAAGUGGAAAAAGACAAUGUAGUCGGUUAUAUAAAGACUAACUCCCAAGAUCACUUAUAUUUCCUUAUUACUAUAUAUAACCACUGUUAUAGAUUUCUAUCAUUCAUGAAGCAAUCUUUUAAAUGAAAGAAAUUAUCUUACUUCAUGAUUGGUUCCUUCAGAGAUUCCCCGUUCACGAAUAUGACAAUCUCUCUUACAUCACCUGCUGGUGUAAUGAGGUACUGACAUCUAAAACAGUCCAUCCAUCUAUCAUCCAACUAUUUUCUAUAGCUGCUUGUCCAAUGCAAAGUCACAGGGGUCCAGAACCUAUCCCAGAAGCUACAAGCACAAGGAGGGGACCCUGGAUGGGGCGCCAACCCAUGGCAGGGCACACUGCCAUGAAGGUCUUAAGUUGACAGACCACAGAGGUGUAAAGAUAAACGUGACACAGUUUACCUUUUUGUCCCACUUAACCAAUAUUGAUCCUAAUAACAGAAUAAACCAGUUCCAUUAAACAUAAAGUUAACCCCCAGUUACGAUGAUGAUUCACAUGUAGUAUGUUAAAAAUGAGCCUUUUGGUUGAAGUCUAUUCAUCAACAUUACAUCUGUGGACAGUUGCUGUGGUGUUUGGUGCUUCAGUGGUGGAAUUCUUGCCUGCAAGUCUUGUCCUAGAACUUGGUUUGCUGACAGUCCACGAUGGCUAAAGAUGCUGCCCAUGCAGUUUGCCAAAUUUCUGCAAACAUUCUUGACUUUAGUAUGACAGCCAUCUCUCUGCAAGUCUGUGAUGCACGAGCUGAAGCGUACUGGCAAGUCACCAACAGGCAUGGCAAAGCAGAUGAAUGAGGUGCUGCAUCUGAAGUAUGGGCGAGCUCACCUGGCACAGCUGCCUGCCAUAGAAUCACAAGCAUCAGGGAGGCUGAGGCCGGGCAGAGAGCCACUGGGCAGUUCCUGGGCAAGGGAAACCCGCCACAUGCAUUUGGGCCAUGUGAAGAUCCAGUUGGCUGGGGUGGAGUCUCUGUGUUCAGUUUAUUAAAUUCAUAUGUCAGGAACCAGCCAUAUCCAAACCGAUCCAGGGUUCUUCUGGGUUGGUUUUCAGAUCUGACCACACCAGAAAAGUUGCUUGGAAAGCAAUGCUGGUUGACAGGGAUUGCUGUGCUCUGUUUAAGAUCCUGGACUGCGUUCCUGGUGAACUUCUCUGGGAUGCCUGGAAGACUCCUUCCACUGUUGCUGGGGCCACUUCUGGGCCGCAGUGAAACACUUGUGCCUCACGGGCAUUGCAGUGCGAGUUCCGCUGCCUGAGGUGUUUUUCAUGGCAGUGCACCUCUGAGCGUCACCCUCUGUUCGGCACUUUCUGCCAGCUCCUCUCCGCUUCCUUCUUUGUGCUGGAUCAGGAGAAUCUAAAGAGGGUCCAGAAUGCCUGUGUUCUGCAAUGUCAAUCCCACUGAACAACAUGUUUGCACUGCAGAACCAUCUCUUCAUUAGCGGCUCUGUGCUUCAUGUUGGGCCGCAUUAAACCAAGUUUUUUUUUUUUUUAAAUCUAUUUAUAGAUUUUAUUUUUACAUAAUCAUACACCCUGUUGUGGUUAUUACCUACAUACUUCAAAGGGUUAACUAAAUUGUUCUGGAUGUUUAUAUAAUUGAAUAUAGAUUCUGAAUAGAUGAAAAUAUUAACAUGUACAUAUGCAAAUAUUUUCACAACAAACUGUAUGCACAGAGUUUGUAUUAUUUUGUUGUGCAGAUCUACAUGGUGCCCUCUUUGUAGUCAUUUGGAGCACAGGAAUAUACUGUAUGUGUGUAUGCUUGUCAAAAGUUAUAUUUUAAUGCUGACCUUAAAUAUUCCAUAUUUCUAUAAGAAAAAGGAUGUGCACACUGAUACAACCAGCUUAUUGCUUUUUAUUUUUUAUAUUUUCCCCGCUAACAGAUUCGUUUAUUUUUCAGUUGAAUUGUACAGGUUAUAGGUCACAUUACAGGUGGGAAAAGUUUUGAAAUGACUGAUCGUGGUCUCAUUUUUUUACAUAACGAACACCUGGCAUUUUAACAGUGGUGUGUACACUUAUAUAUCCACUGUGUCUGUGAGGAGGACUGUAACUUUGGUGCAUGUAUGAAAUCCUGUCAUGUUUAACUGGUACUUUUAACUGAAGCUUUUUGUUUUUUAAAUAAAGGUUCUUCUUAGCUCAUAA